AACGAACGCUGGCGGCAUGCCUAACACAUGCAAGUCGAACGAGACCUUCGGGUCUAGUGGCGCACGGGUGCGUAACGCGUGGGAAUCUGCCCUUGGGUUCGGAAUAACAGUUGGAAACGACUGCUAAUACCGGAUGAUGACGUAAGUCCAAAGAUUUAUCGCCCAAGGAUGAGCCCGCGUAGGUUUAGCUAGUUGGUGAGGUAAAGGCUCACCAAGGCGACGAUCCUUAGCUGGUCUGAGAGGAUGAUCAGCCACACUGGGACUGAGACACGGCCCAGACUCCUACGGGAGGCAGCAGUGGGGAAUAUUGGACAAUGGGCGAAAGCCUGAUCCAGCAAUGCCGCGUGAGUGAUGAAGGCCUUAGGGUUGUAAAGCUCUUUUACCCGGGAUGAUAAUGACAGUACCGGGAGAAUAAGCUCCGGCUAACUCCGUG
rnacentral:rRNA from 1 species